rnacentral:misc_RNA from 1 species
CCGUUGGUGAACCAGCGGAGGGAUCAUUAUCGAGUUUACAACUCCCAAACCCCUGUGAACAUACCAUUUGUUGCCUCGGCGGUGCCUGCUUCGGCAGCCCGCCAGAGGACCCAAACCCUUGAUUUUAUACAGUAUCUUCUGAGUAAAUGAUUAAAUAAAUCAAAACUUUCAACAACGGAUCUCUUGGUUCUG